rnacentral:antisense_RNA from 2 species
CGUUAUGGUGGCCGUGCGCAGGGCACCUUCGGGUGCACCGGGUCCUAAUCACCGGUCUACCAAUCUGCGUACGGUCACCACCCUA